rnacentral:rRNA from 1 species
AUGGGACUUCGACGCCCUAACGAUGACCUUCUGGCGCCAGGGGUACCGCGUCCAGUGGGAGGGCGUGGGUGGCGCCUCACUGGCAGCGCCGCAGAUGCAGCUGGCCGCGACUGCUGCAGGGCCCGAGCACCCUUUGUUGGAUCACCUUCUACAGCAGCACCGCGACCUCUUCGACGAGCCUCAGGGUCUUCCGCCAGCCGGGUGUAUGAUCACCGCAUUCAUCUCCUGCCAGGCACGGCGCCGAUGGCGGUGCGCCCCUACCGCUACCCCCAGCUGCAGAAGGACGAGCUGGAGCGGCAGUGCGCGCUCAUGCUCGCCUUGGGCAUCAUCCCGAUCUCUACUUCGCCGUUUUCGGUGCCGGUCCUCCUCGUCCGUAAGUCGGACGACACAUGGCGCUUCUGCAUCGGCUACCGUGCCCUUAACGCCCAGACGCUCAAGGACAAAUUUCCUAUUCCGGUCAUCGACGAGCUCCUGGACGAGCUACAUGGGGCGUGCUUCUUCACCAAGCUCGACCUCCGUUCGGGCUACCACCAGGUGCGGAUGCACCCAAACAAUGUCGCGAAAACGGCGUUUCGGACUCAUCACGGCCACUUCGAGUUCGUGGUGAUGCUUUUUGGCCUCUCCAACGCCCCGGCGACCUUCCAGGCCUUCAUGAACGACGUCCUCCGCCCCUACUUGCGUCAGUUUGUGCUUGUUUUCUUUGAUGUCAUUCUUAUCUACAGCGCCUCGUGGGUGGAGCACCUUCAGCACGUCGCCAUCGUCUUCAACGAGCUUCGAGCGCACCAUCUUCAUCUUAAGCGCUCGAAGUGCUCGUUCGGCACGACUUCAGUCGCCUACCUCGGCCACGUCAUCUCGGCCGAGGGUGACGCUAUGGACGCCGACAAGGUGGCGGCCGUGGCGGAUUGGCCGACGCCACACUCACCGCGGGCUCUCCGCGGCUUCUUGGGCCUCGCCGGGUACUACCGGAAAUUUAUCCGGGAGUUCGACAUCAUCGCGUCUCCGCUCACACGCCUGUUGCGACGCGACGCCUUCGCCUGGGAUGCGGAGGCCACUGAGGCGUUUGAGGCUCUCAAGAGGGCCCUCACGACGGGUCCCGUCCUCUAG